UGCUCAUAUGCAGUCAGAUGGAGUUGUUGAUGACACAGAGGAUUGGGAGACGGCGGAGGCAGAGUGUCCACCGGCCAAGGACCACAUACAUCUGCUCGUGCACUCUUACUUUGUGCACGGGCAGAUCCGUUUUCUCAGCAGAAAACGUCUCGCUUCUCCGAUUUGCCGAAUUCUUCAUUUAAAUAGCAAUGCGCCAACGUUUAGGCACACAGGACUUUUAGAGGGAAUGGGAGAAGACACUCUGAUCGGUUUGAUCCUGUUACGCCCCAAAACACACCUAUGAUUAAUUAAGAGAAUAAAUACAACCACUUUGCCCCUUGCGCCUUACUUUGCACCCAGAUUAUGUACCGCUUAACUAGCAAAAGUGGAGUUGGACACACCUUAAAUGCGCCAUGCACUUUGGACCAUGCGCUAUAGAUCAUUUAAAUAGGGCCCUUCCUUACUUUUUUAACCCAAAACACAAUCUUUUCCUAACCCUAACCAAGGUGUUUCCUUUGAAACGGAAAUGAAAAGACAGUGGCGUAGCGAGCGGAAAUUGACACGUGCAAAACUGACGCUAGAGGGGUUACGUAGCGCGUCAUAGUUUGAAACGUAGGACCAAGCUGCCUUAUUUGACGAGUUAGGAGUGAAGACUAUAGAGUUCUGAAAAAGUGGAAUCAGCCCUGAGAAAUGCAUGUUACCAGUUUUUUUAAAAAAAAGUGAAUGAAGACGGCCAUCAGUUUCUCAGAGAAGAGAAACUGAGAGAAGCAGAGCAGUGAGUAUGGCAUGACUCUGUUGUGUUCUUGCUGUGGAAAUGUACAUAAUAUUGAAUUUAGCAACACAAUAAUUAAACAUGAAGGAAGUUUUGAGUUUGCAUUAACUGGGAAUCAGGUGAAAUUAGGAAUAAAAGCCUGUCUCUAAUAUAAGCCUGCUUUAAAUAAAAGCCUUGUUCUCUUUUUGUUGUAUAUCAGACUCCUACCCAGUGUUUCCCUGUGUUCCCUGCCCUUUUGUUUCCUGUGUUGUCUCCCCCUGUCUGUCUUUGUGUGUGUGGAAGUGCAGGUGGGCGUGGGCUUCCUUCCUCCUCCUUCUCUCUUGCGGCUGGCGCACCUGAUGAUGAUCUUCCAAUUAUAUACAACCUCUGCAGUAUAUCAACCCUGGGAUUCCUUCCACAAUCUGCCAGAUCGUUCAGUCACCUUCCGUGAUCCACCACGUCUGCUUGCCGCCUUCGCCCUGCCUGCCUGCCUGCCACUCUCCAUAUACUCCUUCCUUGUAUCUUUAUUGAACUCACAAACGUUUCCUGUGCUUUAAUCUGGAGUUGAGUGGGAGAUUCACUCCUCGUGCCCUGCCUGUCCACACUAGGAUCAACUCUCCAGGACAGGACACCCCGAGCCCCCUCGGCGAGCUCCCAACCCGAUCCCAGCUUAUGAUUACGAUUCAUUUUUGUUAUUAAUAAAUCUUUAUUUAAAA